ACAGCGUUUCUUUCUUACAGGUGUUGAAAGGUGCUACUCCCAAGCAGUAAACAGCAGUGAUUCAUUAGCAUAAUAGCAUAGAAAAACAGAUGACCAAGAACUGUGUGAAUGGAUUAUUCUAUUGCUGGGAGUUGCGGUAAUGAAUCAUCAUUUCCACUCAAUACUCCUCCCUUCUCAUUUUGGUCAGCUUCUCUUCUUGAAGGAAGACAUUAUGAGGAAGAGACUUUAUAAACCAGAAUUGGGAAAGGAUGUCCUUCAUCUUUGAUGCAGAAAGUUGGCUGAGGCCUUUGGGAUUGGACUGCAACUCCACCAUUAGCUUUCCUGGACCUUCAGCUUGCAAAUGGCAGAUCCUGGGACUUCUCAGCCUUCAUAAUCUUGUAAGCCAAUCCUUUGUAAUAAAUUCCUUAUGUAUUG